rnacentral:sRNA from 1 species
GGGGGUUUGCUACUUCAUGCUUCAUUCAUGCAAUAGAGAGGGCUUCUUUCCCCAAAUUCUCUCAUCCCUCAACCUAGGGUUCUUCAAGAACAGAAGAAGAGAAGUUUUGACGCAAGCUCCAUGGGUCAAACCGGAAGCUCCAAGGCCCAAAGGAAGUAGGCCCAAAAACUAAUCGGCUAGGAGAAUGAUCAGUCCGAUGAAGCGUGCUGAGCUGGAAGCAAAGCAGUUUAGAGUUAGUUAGAGAAGAGGAACUCGAGAAGCUUCCAAAGUUAGUUUGUGAUUCCUCCCCCUUUUCCCCUUUCUUUCUUUUUCGGUUUCUGACUUUCCCUAUAUAAGGGGAAGUCUUGUAAAGUGUAAAUACGGGUAGUGGGUGUCAGACACUACUUAGACUAGGUUUUCUAUUUCUCAGUUUCAUGAUUUCGUUUAGACUUUAAGCUUUCGUAGAAGUAGAUAUAAUCUUUGCUUCAAUGGAGUUCUUGGAUCAUUUCCAUUGGGUGACAGUGAGUCAUGUCUCGAAUUUGUUUAAGACAUAUGUAUUGUAUCCCAAGGUCGACAAGAUAACUCGGUAGCAAACAAUGAGUCACAUUCCCAUCCCGAUAAGGUAAGCAAGACACGAGCCCUAUGCAGCGAAACGACAAUGGUUAUUUUGGACUUAUGGCAACGAUUUUAGAACUGAAGCAUAUUAAGGCGAAAUAAAAAAAAGAAGGCUUUUAGCCUUCAUUCAAAAUCAAAGCCAAAAGUUGAAGAUUCUCCUUCGGUUAUAAGAAAAUCGAAGCAGUAAAGAGAAAAAAAUUAAAAAAAAUGAAAUAAUUUUGGGUUUAUGCUAGCGAUUUCAACAACAACUACUACUAUAGACCCUAUUCUACUUUGGUUCCUAGAUGCGCUGCCAUAUGUCCAAUUUAAUUUAAAAUAUUUGUUUAAUGUAAAGGUUUAUGGCCUUGGUUUGAGC